UCAAAAAGCUUGAGGCACACCUGGCUGUAAAAGAGGGAGACACAGUCUUUGUGUCAAACCUUAAAAAACAGGUUUGGGCAAACCUAUCCAAGCGCUACCAGAAUGAUGAGAUCAGGAACUUUCUCCAAGUGGCCACUGCGUUGGAUCCACGCUUUAAACAUAAAUUGGAUGAUGACACCAUCUGGGACCAGAUCCAGAGAAAUCUGAUUGAACAGUCAACAGAGGAAGACGGUGGAGCUGAUGGGGACACUAUGCAGUCUGAGAAUGAGGAUGAGCAGGAGA